GAGGGUGUAGCUCAAAGAGGUAGAGUGCAUGCUUAGCAUGCACAAGGUCCUGGGUUCAGUCCCCAGUACUUCCU
rnacentral:tRNA from 1 species